AGAGUUUGAUCAUGGCUCAGAUUGAACGCUGGCGGCAGGCUUAACACAUGCAAGUCGAACGGUAACAGGAAAUAGCUUGCUAUUUUGCUGACAAGUGGCGGACGGGUGAGUAAUGCUUGGGAAUGUACCGGUUUGUGGGGGACAACAGUUGGAAACGACUGCUAAUACCGCAUAAUAUCUAUUGAUCAAAGGUGGCCUCUAUUCAUAAGCUAUCGCAAACCGAUCAGCCCAAGUGGGAUUAGCUAGUUGGUAAGGUAAUGGCUUACCAAGGCAUCGAUCCCUAGCUGGUCUUAGAGGAUGACCAGCCACACUGGAACUGAGACACGGUCCAGACUCCUACGGGAGGCAGCAGUGGGGAAUAUUGCACAAUGGGCGCAAGCCUGAUGCAGCCAUGCCGCGUGUGUGAAGAAGGCUUUCGGGUUGUAAAGCACUUUCAGCGAGGAGGAAAGGGUAAUAGUUAAUACCUAUUACCUGUGACGUUACUCGCAGAAGAAGCACCGGCUAACUCACGUGCCAGACAGCCGCGGUAAUACGGCCCAGGGUGCGAGCGUUAAUCGGAAUUACUGGGCGUAAAGCGCGCGUAGGUGGUUAAAUUAGCCAGAUGUGAAAGCCCAGGGCUCAACCUUGGAACUGCAUUUGAAACUGUUUAACUAGAGUUUUGUAGAGGGUGGUAGAAUUUCAGGUGUAGCGGUGAAAUGCGUAGAGAUCUGAAGGAAUACCAGUGGCGAAGGCGGCCACCUGGACAAUAACUGACACUGAGGCGCGAAGGCGUGGGGAGCAAACGGGAUUAGAUACCCCGGUAGUCCACGCAGUAAACGAUGUCUAUUAGAAGUUUGUGGCUAUAUGCCGUGGGUUUCAAAGCUAACGCAUUAAAUAGACCGCCUGGGGAGUACGGCCGCAAGGUUAAAACUCAAAUGAAUUGACGGGGGCCCGCACAAGCGGUGGAGCAUGUGGUUUAAUUCGAUGCAACGCGAAGAACCUUACCAUCCUUUGACAUCCAGAGAAUCUGUUAGAGAUAAUUGAGUGCCUUCGGGAGCUCUGAGACAGGUGCUGCAUGGCUGUCGUCAGCUCGUGUUGUGAAAUGUUGGGUUAAGUCCCGCAACGAGCGCAACCCUUAUCCUUAGUUGCCAGCACGUAAUGGUGGGAACUCUAGGGAGACUGCCGGUGAUAAACCGGAGGAAGGUGGGGACGACGUCAAGUCAUCAUGGCCCUUACGGGAUGGGCUACACACGUGCUACAAUGGCAAAUACAAAGGGUUGCUAACCUGCGAGGGUAUGCGGAUCUCAUAAAGUUUGUCGUAGUCCGGGUCGGAGUCUGCAACUCGACUCCGUGAAGUUGGAAUCGCUAGUAAUCGUGGAUCAGAAUGCCACGGUGAAUACGUUCCCGGGCCUUGUACACACCGCCCGUCACACCAUGGGAGUGGGCUGCACCAGAAGUCAUUAGCUUAACCUUCGGGAUGGCGAUGACCACGGUGUGGUUCAUGACUGGGGUGAAGUCGUAACAAGGUAAC
rnacentral:rRNA from 2 species